UUACAGGGACCAUGGAAACGUUUGUAUUUGUGAUCUUUGUGACAAAUGGACAUUGGAGGAACCUAGAUUACACUCUGGAUCCCCUAGUCUUCUCUUCACUAGCAGAGCCUUCCAGAAGGCCAGAAGACCAGCCCUAAUAUGCCACAAGCCAGCAUCAGCAGCUGAACAACAGAGUCCAGCCCAUCAAAUGCAUGAUGAACAGAAAUACAGAGGAGGACCCCACCCAAGGUGCUCCUUUAAGGGCCUGAUGGGCCGAUCUACAGAGUAGGACCCCAGCCAGGGGGACCCUUCUAUGUGCCUGACCUGCUGAGCAACAGAGAAGGACCCCAGUGCCAAGAGCAAUAGCUGGAACAUAGACUCCUGGUGCUCCAUAAUACAUUCAUCCCUUGGUGUCUUCAGGAGAUUGAGUCCAGGAUUCCCAUGGGUACCAAAAUCUGCA
ensembl:lncRNA